rnacentral:piRNA from 1 species
UCUCCUUUAGCAAGGGCAAGUACUCAGCCCC